AUUGAACGCUGGCGGCAGGCCUAACACAUGCAAGUCGAGCGGAUGAAGGGAGCUUGCUCCUGGAUUCAGCGGCGGACGGGUGAGUAAUGCCUAGGAAUCUGCCUGGUAGUGGGGGAUAACGCCCGGAAACGGGCGCUAAUACCGCAUACGUCCUGAGGGAGAAAGUGGGGGAUCUUCGGACCUCACGCUAUCAGAUGAGCCUAGGUCGGAUUAGCUAGUUGGUGGGGUAAAGGCCUACCAAGGCGACGAUCCGUAACUGGUCUGAGAGGAUGAUCAGUCACACUGGAACUGAGACCCGGUCCAGCCUCCUACGGGAGGCAGCAGUGGGGAAUAUUGGACAAUGGGCGAAAGCCUGAUCCAGCCAUGCCGCGUGUGUGAAGAAGGUCUUCGGAUUGUAAAGCACUUUAAGUUGGGAGGAAGGGCAGUAAGUUAAUACCUUGCUGUUUUGACGUUACCAACAGAAUAAGCACCGGCUAACUUCGU
rnacentral:rRNA from 1 species